GAGAUGAAAAAACUAAAUCCCUAAAUUAAUCUCAAAAAUCCCCUUCUCUCUCCUCUUUCUUCUUCCCAGUCGAUCCCCUCUUUCUUUUCCUCUCUCGCAUUUCAGUCGGCCAGACCAGAUGAGCCAUCUCCGGCCACCACCCAAUGACACGCACCCCACCACGAGCUUCCUUGGCCCCCGAAACCCCCAACCCGUGAAGCUUGCCUCCCCACUCGCCGGCCUCCGUCGCGAUUGGCUCCCCGAAGUUCCGUCGCCGCUGUGAGUUUGGAGGAUUGUUCUGGCCUCCACCGUGGACGAUGAAGGCUCCUGCUGGCGACGACGAUGGGGAAGGCGACGGCGAAGGCUCCUGAGCUGGUGAAGUUCUCAGGCGUGGGUGGUGCUGCCAUUCUCUUCAAGUUGUCCAGACCACUUGUAUUCAACUCUUUGGAUGUGUUUAUUGACAACCAUCCAAUCUGCAAUAUAUACAUUUGUGACAGAGCCUGAUCUACAAGUAUGGAAUCUUCAUUCCUAUUUAGAACUUGGAAGUUGUUUGUAUGCAGGAAUUGGUACUGCUGUAUCUUUUUUUGUUCAAGCAUGGUGCAUACAACUAAGAGGUCCUGUCUUUGUUGCAAUGUUCAGCCCUCUAUGCACUGUUAUAACAGCCAUUAUAGCCUCUUUGUUUCUACAUGAGAAGUUAUAUGCUGGAAGGAGUGCUUAAAUGGAGAGUUUCUUCAAGUUGGUCUCAAGUUUGUUCCACUAGCUGGAUAUCACUGGUUUGAUGGAGAUGGGUAUAUAUAUUGACUUCAUUAUUCUUAAAACUUAUUUAAUGAGUAUAUAUAUUGACGUUUUCAACAAGAAGAAUACUUUGGAGCUCCCAAAUUCAUGAAGAUUGGAGAACUGAAAGGGCAUUUUGGAUUACUCGCGGUGAUCAUGCAAAUUCUGAGAGCAAAGCUCAAAGUAUUAGAUCUUUCAUAUGGAAAUGGAACCGGUAUAAUUAAGCACAACUCAACUACACAUCUGGUACUGAAAUAUCUGUCUUCAUGUGAAUGUAAUUUUAGAAAUUAACAAUUUUAUUAUUUUUAAGUGAGUUAUGUCGGCAAGGAUAGGAAUGUCCUAUGGAGGCUUUAUGAGUGAUCUUUUUCAUGCCAUAUUAGUAAUCUCUUUAAACUGUAUAUUAGUCAAAAUUUGAAACUUGUGUGCACAAAAUGUUAGUUGUUAUUCAUAUCUUGGCUUCCUUUGUAACUGUAUAACAUGAAUUUGUUGAGGAUUAUGUAAUUUUUCUUGAAAUGUACAACUAGUAGUAUUACUGUAAAACAA